AUGUUUGCAGCCCAAUCCAGAUCGAAAAUAAACAUCUGCUGCACCGCCCUCACCAACGCCUAGAAGGGAUCCCAAUCUGCUGCUGCCUUCUUCGGUCACAUGAGAUCGCUGUCAGAUGAACUUGCUAUGGCAGGAAAACCCCUCCUAGAGGAAGAACUAAUCUCCUUCAUAGUUGCUGGCCUUGACAUGGAUUAUCAACCACUUAACUCAGCCCUAGAUGUCCGCACCGAACCACUAUCUGUUAAUGAUCUCUUCGGCAUGGUGGCGAACUUUGAUCAGCGCAUGGAGCUUUUCCAGGGCACAAGCGCCGGGGCUUUCAAGUCCUCGGCCAACAGUGCCUCACGGGGACGCGGCGGCGCUCCCAAGGACGGCUACCGUAACUCACCCAAGGGUGGAAACGGCAGCGGCAACAACAACUACAACAACGGUGGCGGCGGCUACCGCGGCAACAGCAGCGGAGGUGGUGAUGGCGGCUACAACCAGGGCGGCGGUGGUGGCUACCGCGGCUCUGGUGGUGGCUACAAUGGCGGCUACAAUGGCGGCGGUGGCGGGGGCUACUACAACAACAAUGGGCCCCCACGCCAUAACUACAACAACAAUCAAGGUCGUCAAGGCGGCCGUUUCACCGGGUAUGAAGAAUAUGAAAACAAGUGUCAGAUUUGCAAAAAAACUAACCACAUUGCAAAGGAGUGUAAGUGGCGCUAUGCAGACGACAACUCUCAGAGGAGACGAGUUGCAGCUGCAGCAGAUGCCUCAUAUGGAACAGAUUCCAACUGGUAUCUUGACUCCGGUGCAAAUGAGAACAUCACCUCCGAGAUAGAGAAAAUGACCAUGCAUGAGAAAUACCAUGGCCAAGAGCAAGUCCACACUGCAGAAAAUGGUCCAGGUAUGAUGAUAAGUCAUGUUGGCAAGUCUAUUAUUAAAACCCCACAUCGUGAUAUUCUUGUAGAUGAAGUCCUACACAUUCCCAAUGCAUAA
rnacentral:rRNA from 1 species